rnacentral:rRNA from 1 species
CCUACGGGUGGCAGCAGUGAGGAAUAUUGGUCAAUGGGCGCGAGCCUGAACCAGCCAAGUAGCGUGAAGGAUGACUGCCCUACGGGUUGUAAACUUCUUUUAUAAAGGAAUAAAGUGAGGCACGUGCGCCUUUUUGUAUGUACUUAAUGAAUAAGGAUCGGCUAACUCCGUGCCAGCAGCCGCGGUAAUACGGAGGAUCCGAGCGUUAUCCGGAUUUAGUGGGAUUAAAGGAAGCGUAGAUGGGUUGUUAAGUCAGUUGUGAAAGUUUGCGGGUCAACCGUAAAAUUGCAAUUGAUACUGGCAGUCUUGAGUACAGUAGAGGUAGGCGGAAUUCGUGGUGUAGCGGUGAAAUGCUUAGAUAUCACGAAGAACUCCGAUUGCGAAGGCAGCUUACUAAACUGCCACUGACAUUGAUGCUCGAAAGUGUGGGUAUCAAACAGGAUUAGAUACCCUGGUAGUC